rnacentral:rRNA from 1 species
UGCGAAAGCAGGUCAUAGUGAUCCGGUGGUUCUGAAUGGAAGGGCCAUCGCUCAACGGAUAAAAGGUACUCCGGGGAUAACAGGCUGAUACCGCCCAAGAGUUCAUAUCGACGGCGGUGUUUGGCACCUCGAUGUCGGCUCAUCACAUCCUGGGGCUGAAGUAGGUCCCAAGGGUAUGGCUGUUCGCCAUUUAAAGUGGUACGCGAGCUGGGUUUAGAACGUCGUGAGACAGUUCGGUCCCUAUCUGCCGUGGGCGCUGGAGAACUGAGGGGGGCUGCUCCUAGUACGAGAGGACCGGAGUGGACGCAUCACUGGUGUUCGGGUUGUCAUGCCAAUGGCACUGCCCGGUAGCUAAAUGCGGAAGAGAUAAGUGCUGAAAGCAUCUAAGCACGAAACUUGCCCCGAGAUGAGUUCUCCCUGAGACUUAGAGUCUCCUGAAGGAACGUUGAAGACGACGACGUUGAUAGGCCGGGUGUGUAAGCGCAGCGAUGCGUUGAGCUAACCGGUACUAAUGAACCGUGAGGCUUAACCUUACAACGCCGAAG